CAUUUCUCCAUCUAUUUGUGCACCUCUUGUGUAGACCUUUUCUGAGGGCUUCCUCAGGUCCUUGGGACUGCUUGCAAAAAUGAAUUUUGUGGGCUUUCCUUGUCACUACCACACCACACAUAUACACCAGUGUAGAAGGAAAUGGAAUUUGAUGCAUAAUAUACAACUUUCAGCAACGGAUCUCUUGGCUCUCGCAUCGAUGAAGAACGCAGCGAAAUGCGAUAAGUAAUGUGAAUUGCAGAAUUCAGUGAAUCAUCGAAUCUUUGAACGCAUCUUGCGCUCCUUGGUUAAUCCAAGGAGCAUGCCUGUUUGAGUGUCAUUAAUGUCUCAACCACGCCGUGAGGUCGUGGCUUGGAUUUGGGGGUCACAGGCUCUGAACUUGUGGUCUGCUCCCCUGAAAUACAUGAGUGGUGAACGACCCUCUCCGUCGAGAUGUGAUACAUAUCUGCAUCCAGUUGAGGGUUUUGCUGCUGCGAGAGUUGGAUUUGAUAAACUUGACCUCAAAUCAGGUAGGACCACCCGCUGAACUUAAGCAUAUCAAUAAGCGGAGGA
rnacentral:rRNA from 1 species